rnacentral:lncRNA from 1 species
GAAGGUGAACGAGUCCGACGAUUUGCAGAACUCGAUCAGGCUAACGAGAGACAACAUCAAGGCCAUCAUCAUGGUAAGAAAUCAACGCGGUUUUAACUUGAUCACCUCUCGCUAUCGAGGAAACCUAAUCUUGCUCGGUUCACCAGGCGAUGUGUCGUGAAAGAAAAAAGAAAAAAACAAAGAAAAACACGGUUUCCAUAAAUGGUGUGGGGGGGGACGGAAACCGACAUGCACCUGUCGAGCUUCCUACACCGUUCUUUUAUAAUCAGAACAGGACUUAAUUUGGACGUGUCGCUAGAUGUUUCGCGUAUAUAUUCGGGACGUUAGGGUUUCCAUCACAUUAAGUAAGUAUAUGCGAGUUAUUAUCAGUUAUUAUUUUCUUUUUGCGCUAGCGAAAUAAAAAGUGUAUUUUCGUUUUCCUUUAUGGAGGGUGGAGAUUUAGGUACUGAUAUAAUAUGCUAUACUCACCGUUCUUGGCGUAGAAAAUUAGGUAUAACUGAGCAAUAAUUGAAAUUGGUUUGAGAAGUUUAUACACAAAAAAGUGGGAUUUACUUUUUUCAUUAAUGGUGGGUCGAUAGUAGUGUACGAUUAAUCGCCCGUAUCUGGACGCCAUCUCUCUUUUGCGAAUUACACGUGCAUGCAUAAUUUAUUUGGAGUUGUUAGGAAGACAUUCCACUUGACAAUUCGUGCAGCCUAGCUUUUGUUCUUCGGCUGCAGAUCUUCCACGUCAUAAACUUCUCAAAAAUUUCAAAAUUCAUCAACGAGUGUUCAUGGUAGAUGUCCUUUAAUUCUUUAUCUGUUCUACUUGUGUUUCGUUUAGGACGUGAUGUUCGGCGGGACGGAGACCGUGGCGUCAGCUAUCGAGUGGGCCAUGGCGGAGCUCAUGCGAAGCCCCGAGGACCUGAAGAAGGUCCAGCAAGAACUCGCGGAUGUCGUGGGCUUAGACCGGAGAGUCGAGGAGAGCGACUUCGAGAAGCUGACCUAUCUCAAGUGCUGUCUCAAAGAGACCCUCCGCCUCCACCCGCCGAUCCCGCUGCUCCUCCACGAGACGGCAGAGGACGCCGUGAUCUCCGGCUACCGCAUCCCCGCACGGUCCCGGGUCAUGAUCAAUGCAUGGGCCAUCGGGCGUGACCCCGGCUCGUGGACCGAACCUGACAAGUUCAAACCGUCCCGGUUCCUGGAGCCAGGCAUGCCCGACUACAAGGGGAGCAAC